AGAAACUUAGGAUAAACAAACCCUGAGCCUUCAAAGCUCAGAAUAGAGGUUGGACCCCUCUAGUUUCUA
rnacentral:tRNA from 1 species